rnacentral:rRNA from 1 species
AACGAACACUGGCGGCAUGCCUAACACAUGCCAGUCGAACGAGACCUUCGGGUCUAGUGGCGCACGGGUGCGUAACGCGUGGGAACCUGCCCUUAGGUUCGGAAUAACUCCCCGAAAGGGGUGCUAAUACCGGAUAAUGUCUUCGGACCAAAGAUUUAUCGCCUUUGGAUGGGCCCGCGUUGGAUUAGCUAGUUGGUAGGGUAAAAGCCUACCAAGGCGACGAUCCAUAGCUGGUCUGAGAGGAUGAUCAGCCACACUGGGACUGAGACACGGCCCAGACUCCUACGGGAGGCAGCAGUGGGGAAUAUUGGACAAUGGGCGAAAGCCUGAUCCAGCAAUGCCGCGUGAGUGAUGAAGGCCUUAGGGUUGUAAAGCUCUUUUACCCGGGAUGAUAAUGACAGUACCGGGAGAAUAAGCUCCGGCUAACUCCGUG